CCGUUCUUGUGUUAUUUGCUGAAUUUAAAUCGUCGUUCAGUGAUUGUCAAACAGAACGCACAACGAACUUUCAAACCGGCUUAUCCACGUUGUUGAGCCUAUCUACUCAAAGGCUUCUACAUUACUAAUCACUGGUUACAGCA